AUACGGCCAUAUCAUGUUGAAACAGUAGUUCUCGUACGAUCACCGAAGUUAAGCAAGGUCGAGCCUAGUCAGUACCUAGAUGGGUGACCGCCUGGGACUACCAGGUGUCGUAA